rnacentral:lncRNA from 1 species
GGCCACCCAGGCAACCGAUAUACACAGAGAACCACGUGGAGGAAAAGCACGCGAGUUUGGAGCGGGUGGAGCAGGAACAGAGGUGGACUGGAAUGUCACACGACGGGGCAGCUGGAAGGGCACCACUGAGUUCAGUACUUCAAAAUUGCCGUGCUCUACCUCUCCCCAGUGCACAAAAACACUCUCCACACCAAGCUGCUGCUGCUGGGGGAUGGAGGGAUGGCGUCAGCGAUUCAAGACUGUUUUUCCUACCUGUUCAGCACUUCUUUCAGCGAUAUGAAGUUAAAUCCAGGUACUAUGAGUGCUCACUUGAUUUUUGUUUCUUAUGAAGGAGCUUUUUGUGUGUGUGUGUGUGUGUGUAGAUAGUUGUUAAAUUGGUGUCCUUGCCAGGGAGGAGGGGACAAUUAGUGGAGUCUCUUAUUCUGCCAUCUUGCUCUUCCUCAAUAUGCUCUUUCUUGCAGAUCUUUUACAACUCUCUAUAUUUGUUCAGUUUGCAUCUUACUUGUUUUCUUCUUUAUUAUUCUGGAACAAUCCUCUUGUUUUUAAGAUAACAUCAUUCUCUUUUUCCUUUAAAGGAAACACAUUCCUUAUAUACUUUUUCUUGCUAAAAACUCAUCUACUUUUAAAAUACAUUUUUUAUAUACAGUUGUUUUCUUUCUUUCUUUCUUUUUUUUUUUAGGAG